rnacentral:rRNA from 1 species
GGUAGUCCACGCCCUAAACGAUGACGACUAGUUGUUGGAGGAGUUAAAUCCUUUAGUAACGCAGCUAACGCGCGAAGUCGUCCGCCUGGGGAGUACGGUCGCAAGAUUAAAACUCAAAGGAAUUGACGGGGGCCCGCACAAGCGGUGGAUGAUGUGGUUUAAUUCGACGCAACACGCAGAACCUUACCCAGGCUUGACAUGCACCUGCAAACGGUAGAAACGCCGUUGCCUUCGAGGGUGGUGCACCGGUGCUGCAUGGCUGUCGUCAGCUCGUGUCGUGAGGUGUUGGGUUAAG